AGUACAAUAUGAUGAAUGGUACGAAUCGUAGUGGUAGUGAAUUGAUCGUUGGUUUGACGAAUAGUGUAGUAAGUUGAACACAGUUGCAACUUGAUAAUGUGCGGAGAAAUGACCUGAAGUCCUCGCAUUCUGAUCGCCUAAGCGAGUAUCAGUCAAUCACGGAACGUCGGUUAGAAAGGAAGUGUGUACACGACAUCUUAUUCUAUCGUUAUCAUUGUGUUACUACUAGUGAUAGUGCAUAUGGAAGAUUAGUUUUAUGACUGGAGAUCUAGCUGUUUUGAUAAAGUGAUAUCAUUAUCAUCAUUUAUUUCUUGUUGCUAUACAAAACAUUACUUAAUGAUGCGUUCAAAACUAUCUCUCGAGCAACUGAAUGCGCUUACACCAACCGAGUUCCAUAAAGUGUUUGAAAA